ensembl:lncRNA
CCACACUUUGCAAAAAAAAAAAAAAGGGAACAGUUUACAUCUUCUCCAUGCUCAAUAUUAUUGGAUAUUAAAACUAGACGAGGCAAUCUGAGCUGCAGUUAAAGAUUUUAAUAAAUCAGAAGUACAUUACAUGAUCAAUUAGCAAAAUCCAACAUGAAACAGUAAACACUACUACUUAAAGAUGGUGUAUAUAGCCUGUGAAACAGAGUAAACACUACUACUUAAAAGAUGGUGUAUAUAGCCUGUGAAACAGAGUAAACACUACUACUUAAAGAUGGUGUACCGUAUAUAGCCUGUGAAACAGAGUAAACACUACUACUUAAAGAUGGUGUAUAUAGCCUGUGAAACAGAUGGUGUGUAUAUAGCCUGUGAAACUAAACAAGUAAGCAUUGAAGAGGCAUCUAGAGCACUACCGAGGAGGGAGGAGACAAGGUUAUCUCCUAUCUCCUUCACUGAGGAGACAGGGUAAUCUCCUAGCUCUUUCCCUGAGGAGAGGACGUAAUCUCCUAGCUCCUUCAGAGGAAAAGUGGUUAUCUCCUAGCCCCUUCACAGGCCGGGACAAGUGCAAUACCGUCGCUACGCAGCAUUGCUGCUCGGCCCCACCUGUGACGGAGUGGACAGGUCAUACCGCCCCCCGACAACAUCUUCCCCUGACCGGUGACAUCAUGAACCCCUGACCGGGAACAUCAUGACCCUCUGAUCGAGCGACAUCAUGACCCCUGAUCGGUGACAUCAUGACCCCUGAUCGGUGACAUCAUGACCCCUGAUCGAGUGACAUCAUGACCCCUGAUCGAGUGACAUCAUGACCCGUGACUGAGUGACAUCAUGAGUCACUGACCGUUUGACAUCCUAAGUUAUUUAGCUGGACACCUCCAACCUGCUCAGUUUUGCAUGGAUUUGCACACCAACGCAAUCUCCAGCGGAAUGCAAACCAGCAAAACUGAGCAGAGUAGCGAAGUUCUCCCGGCGGCAGGAGACCUGUGGAUGGCAGUGAGAAGGACUUGAAGUGCUCACGCUGCAGUAGAUACGGACAACACUACCUGCACUAUAAGCACUUUAGCACCGCUCACACUCGUGACAACACCUUGG